rnacentral:lncRNA from 1 species
UUUAUCUUUUCCAUAUUUUAUUUAUGAUGAAAUAUUCAUCAUACAUAUAACUAUGAAUAUUAUUCAAAUGGCAUUUAAAUUUUCAUAAAUAAUUACAAUAGGUCCCCAACUUACAUGGUUAAUUUGUUUUAAAAAAUUUUGUGUAAAUCUAAAGCCAUGUAAAUCUAAUAAUGCUUAAAUUUGCUAUACAUGAAUGAAAAUAUUAGCAAAUGGAAUGGUCAAAUGAAAUUUAUGAUUCUAUUUUAAUCAUAAAUAAGAAAAUUUAAUGGUAAAAUUGAUAUUUUUGCAAAAAUGUGAAUUUUUUAUUGAAUUUUUCAUUAGUUUUAUGGAAAUCUAACAAAAUUUAAAUGACUUACUCAUUCAUGUAUCUCUGAAAUUGCAUAAGUUGAAAUCAUGUAAGUCUGGGACCUUAUUAUAUUAUGAUUAUUAUUUUUUCACAGAAAAUACUUUUACAAAAUUGCCAAACAGUUCUAAAUAUUAAAUUUUAUUAUAAACUUUUUUAUUUCUAGAUUUAAUGCUACUUUCCAAUUAGUGAUUACAAAGCAAUGGGACUGUUGGUUGAAUGGGCACAUAGUAAAGUGUUAUAUAUUCCUUCAGAUAGCAACCAAUCUCCUGGAGAACAUCUAGUCUCACAUCUUCAAAUUUUUUCAGGAGGGAUAUUGCCAAUUUAUUAAACCCCAUCUUUCACUUGAAAUUGGCUUCUUCAUGGGUAAUCCUAAUAAUGGGUACUGAAAUAGACUAUGAGUGAGUAACCUCUGAUUGGAAAGUGGUUUAAAUAAGAAAGAAGAUGCAGCAUUCUAUAUCCUCUUAUAGAUCAUCUAUUUCUACAAUCAGAUUAAUCAAAAGGUUAAGUAUACAAUCAGAUUCAAGCCCAGAUUUAUCUGUAAAAAUUCUGAAGAUGUACAACUUUGGCUCAAUCUCGGAUUUUCUAAAUGGAAAUCUGUCAUGUAUUCUUAAAUGGCCAGCCUGGAGACUUUUUAGACUUUCACUGGAAAAAAAUUUUUUUUUAGAUUGUAUAUGAUAACUUAUAUUAAUUAUUGAAUUAAUUUUUUCAUCAUUUAUAUAAUCAGAUGGUAUUUUUAAUAUACUAGAAUGAAAAAUGGAUGACAUUUUUGGGUUCAAAAUAUAUAAUUUGCUUUAUUUAAAUUGAUAGUAAUUUUGUUCUUGAUCUAUAAGAAUUUUAUUUACAUAAAUUUUUCAAGAAUGCUCAUACUCGUAAACUGAAGGUAAGAUUGUGUUUUAACUUUUAGAAAUUUUAUCUUUUCAAAUUCAAUGUGCAACACUAUUGACUUAUGACCACUUGUAUUUAAGGCUAUGAUGCAACUAAUAAACUCUAUAAAUGAUUAAUACAAUUCAUGUAUGUAUAAGUCCAUAUGCAAUGGUCCAAUAUAUUAACAGUGUCCAAUGUACUAGCAGAUUCAUGUUUUUAAAUUUGCUACAAUGCUGUGUUGUAUUGUAAUGAAUAAAGGUUAUGAGCAAUUAAUAAAUAAAAGAUAUUUCCUACAUAUUUCCAGAUUGACUUACAAUUUGUAAGUUGAACUAUCUGUAGUUGUUUAUAUUGUAAUUAGUUUUAAAAAUUUUAAUGUUUAUAUUCAUUUAAAUGUUUGUUAUUUAAAUGAAUGUAAUUUACAUUGUUAUUAAAUUAUGAAUUUAAUAUAUGGUACUUGUAUUGUAAAUAAUUUAAAUAUUUUUCUUGGAUAAAAUAAUAAUACAAUGAAUUUUUCUUGUAUAAAAUUUUAUUCAUGAAGUAAACUUUACUAUUCAAUUUAAAUAUUCCAUAUUUUAAAAACAUAUAAAACAAAGUGAAAAUGAUUAAAUUAGUCUUCCAUUUUGAAAAUACACUACUAG